rnacentral:lncRNA from 1 species
AAAAUCAAAAUUUUUUAAAUGAAGCCCAAACAAAAAUUUAAUGGAGUAAAAAAAAAAUAAUAGAGCCAAAAUGUUAAUCAGUACCAAAUAAACCCUUUCCCCCCAAAACCCCUAAAACCUAAAAUGAGUAACAGAUCUUCCCUUUCUCCCCAAAACCCCUAAAACCUAAAAUAAGUAACAACCCUUCUUCUUCUUCUCGCCGUCGACCAACCAAUCCCGCCCAAUCUGUUUGCUUCUCGCCGUCGACCAACCAAUCUCGCCCAAUCUGUUUCCUUCUUCUUCUCGCCUUUCAAUUAAGCUAAAAUCAAAAUUUUUUAAAUGAAGCCCAAACAAAAAUUUAAUGGAGUAAAAAAAAAAUAAUAGAGCCAAAAUGUUAAUCAGUACCAAAUAAACCCUUUCCCCCCAAAACCCCUAAAACCUAAAAUGAGUAAUAGAUCUUCCCUUUCUCCCAAAAACCCCUAAAACCUAAAAUAAGUAAUAGACCUUCUUCUUCUUCUCGCCGUCGACCAACCAAUCCCGCCCAAUCUGUUUGCUUCUCGCCGUCGACCAACCAAUCUCGCCCAAUCUGUUUCCUUCUUCUUCUCGCCGUCGACCACCGUUCUCGUCAUCAC